CAUCAUUCAGUUGGGCACUCUAGCAAGACUGCCGGUGACAAACCGGAGGAAGGUGGGGAUGACGUCAAAUCAUCAUGCCCCUUAUGACCUGGGCUACACACGUGCUACAAUGGGAAGUACAACGAGUCGCGAAGUCGCGAGGCUAAGCUAAUCUCUUAAAGCUUCUCUCAGUUCGGAUUGCAGGCUGCAACUCGCCUGCAUGAAGCCGGAAUCGCUAGUAAUCGCGGAUCAGCACGCCGCGGUGAAUACGUUCCCGGGCCUUGUACACACCGCCCGUCACACCACGAGAGUUUGUAACACCCGAAGUCGGUGAGGUAACCUUUUGGAGCCAGCCGCCUAAGGUGGGAUAGAUGAUUGGGGUGAAGUCGUAACAAGGUAGCCGUAUCGGAAGGUGCGGCUGGAUCACCUCCUUU
rnacentral:rRNA from 1 species